UACGUAGGGUGCGAGCGUUGUCCGGAAUUAUUGGGCGUAAAGGGCUCGUAGGCGGUCUGUUGCGUCGGGAGUGAAAACUCAGGGCUUAACCCUGAGCCUGCUUCCGAUACGGGCAGACUAGAGGUAUGCAGGGGAGAACGGAAUUCCUGGUGUAGGCGGUGAAAUGCGCAGAUAUCAGGAGGAAUACCCAUAGCGAAGGCAGCUCCGCUGGGACGUUACUGACGCUGAGGCGCGAAAGCGUGGGGAGCGAACAGG
rnacentral:rRNA from 1 species